rnacentral:rRNA from 1 species
GACGAACGCNGGCGGCGUGCCUAAUACAUGCAAGUAGAACGCACAGUUUAUACCGUAGCUUGCUACACCAUAAACUGUGAGUUGCGAACGGGUGAGUAACGCGUAGGUAACCUGCCUGGUAGCGGGGGAUAACUAUUGGAAACGAUAGCUAAUACCGCAUAAUAUUGAUUAUUGCAUGAUAAUUGAUUGAAAGAUGCAACUGCAUCACUACCAGAUGGACCUGCGUUGUAUUAGCUAGUAGGUGAGGUAACGGCUCACCUAGGCGACGAUACAUAGCCGACCUGAGAGGGUGAUCGGCCACACUGGGANUGAGACACGGCCCAGACUCCUGCGGGAGGCAGCAGUAGGGAAUCUUCGGCAAUGGACGAAAGUCUGACCGAGCAACGCCGCGUGAGUGAAGAAGGUUUUCGGAUCGUAAAGCUCUGUUGUAAGAGAAGAACGGGUGUGAGAGNGGAAAGUUCACACNGNGACGG